UGUAGGUCAUACUGAGAAAAUAAGCAACAACUUUUCUUUAGAUAGUCUUCAUAAUUAUACUCAACCAACGUCUAUUAUUUAUUUAUUUAUUUAUUUUUUGGUUCGGGGGAGUUUUUUUGGCCACGCCUCAGCAUGUGGGGUCUUAGUUCCCCCACCAGCCAUGGAACGGAAGCCCACAGCAGUGGAAGCACAGAGUCGUAACCACUGGACCCCCCGAGAAGUUCCAGUAGCAACUUUAAUGAGGUAAACAGAGGGCUUCUCCAUUUUCUCAUCAGCGUGGCCAUUUCCUAGCCAACACCUGCUGUGCACAAGCUCCAGAGGAUGAAUUUUAAACUCGUUUCAUCCUGACAAUAGUAAGAGGUGAGCAAAAAUCCUUCUAUCUGGUUGGAUGAGCUGCAGAUAAUCAAUGCAGAAGGAAUAAUAGAAUCUGAGAAUCACCCUUUUGCACCCUCUAACAAGAUCACGGAUGGAGAUGGCAUGAAACGGUUGCUGGAAUCAGUAGGGGAAAGGAAACAACAACAACAAAAAACAAACAGGAAAAAAAAAUCAAUGACAACAACAAAAAACAUAGUUGAAAGACACUGCAGGAAACAGUUGGCCAAAUCCAGAAUGCAGGAUGUUCUACAGGACAAAUGAUGGCGUUUCUAUUAUCAAAUUAGAGGCAUGAAAAAAGGGGUAGGGAGGGAGAGAGGGACUGCUAAGGAAAGAAGAUCUGAGGGGCUUCCCUGGUGUCACAGUGGUUAAGAAUCCACCUGCCAAUGCAGGGGACAUGGGUUCGAUCCCUGAGCCAGGAAGAUCCCACAUGCCACAGAGCAACUAAAUCCAUGCACCACAACUAUCGAGCCCGUGUGCUGCAACUACUGAGCCUGCACUCUAGGGUCGGCGGGCCACAACUACUGAGCCCUUGUGCUGCAAAUACUGAAGCCCAAGCGCCUAGAGCCCAUGCUCCGCAACAAGAGAAGCCACCGCAAUGAAGAAUAGCCCCCACUCGCCACAACUAGAGAAAGCCUGUGCGCAGCAACAAAGACCCAACACAGCCAAAACAAUAAAAUAAAUAAAUAAUAAAAUAAAUGUUAAAAAAAAAAAAAAA